rnacentral:rRNA from 1 species
UACGCAGGGUGCAAGCGUUGUCCGGAAUUAUUGGGCGUAAAGAGCUCGUAGGCGGUCUGUCACGUCGGCUGUGAAAACCCGGGGCUCAACCCCGGGCCUGCAGUCGAUACGGGCAGACUAGAGUGCGGUAGGGGAGACUGGAAUUCCUGGUGUAGCGGUGAAAUGCGCAGAUAUCAGGAGGAACACCGGUGGCGAAGGCGGGUCUCUGGGCCGUAACUGACGCUGAGGAGCGAAAGCGUGGGGAGCGAACAGG